rnacentral:lncRNA from 1 species
GAAAUGAUGGAACUCUACAAAAAUGUUUUGUUGAAGAUUCAAAAGAGACUGAAACAAAAAAGCUGGGUAGUGGAAAGUGACAGCUGUGGAAAGAAAGAUUGAGGGGACCAUUCCUCGGGUCUCUGAUUGCCAUGCAGAGGGCCACAUUCAAAUGAUCUUUGCAAGCAAGAACAUUAACAGAAUGGACUGGCAAGAUGGCUCAUUGGGGAAAGAAAAGCACCAGAUUUCUCACUGGAAGCAUCAGUAGCUGAGGUGAAAGAAUAUAUAACAAAGUUUUCUUUAGAGCGUCAGGCCUGGGAUCGGCUCUUACUGCAGUACCAGAACGAGGUUCCACCUGAAGAGAUGCCCAG